ACUCCUACGGGAGGCAGCAGUGGGGAAUAUUGCACAAUGGGCGCAAGCCUGAUGCAGCAACGCCGUGUGAGUGAAGAAGGUUUUCGGAUCGUAAAACUCUGUCCUAAGGGAAGAAAAAUGACGGUACCUUAGGAGGAAGCCCGGCUAACUACGUGCCAGCAGCCGCGGUAAUACGUAGGGGGCAAGCGUUAUCCGGAAUCACUGGGGCGUAAAGGGUGCGUAGGCGGCUUAGCAAGCCAGGGGUGAAAGGCAUUGGCUCAACCAAUGUAAGCCUUUGGAACUGUUAAGCUUGAGUGCAGGAGAGGUAAGUGGAAUUCCUAGUGUAGAGGUGAAAUUCGUAGAUAUUAGGAGGAACACCAGUGGCGAAGGCGACUUACUGGACUGUAACUGACGCUGAUGCACGAAAGCGUGGGUAGCGAACAGGAUUAGAUACCCUGGUAGGUCAGUC
rnacentral:rRNA from 1 species